rnacentral:tRNA from 1 species
GCCUAGCCGGCUCAGUUGGUAGAGCAUGCAACUCUUGAUUUCUCAGGGUUGUGGGUUCGAGCCCCAUGUUGGGUG